GUCCAGGAAGACUUGUCACCCCCUACAUCGUGCGCCCACAAAAUGAAUCGUGCUUUUAAGCGUGAAUGAGGAUCCCCACGAGAUUGCAAUCCCGCUGGCGCUGUUGACUGUGGUGAAAACAAGAAUUAAGAACGUCACGUUUUCCAACGCCCCCCUCCCCCUUUGCUCGAUUCUUCUUGAGGCGCCAUCUUUGGCUUAUUACAGAUUAAAAAAGUGAUGACACGUCUGUAUCUAAAAUUUGCUUCUUGUUCAAACUGACAAGGUCUCAGUGAAUCCAGUCUGGCCUUGAACUUGCUUGAUGCUGGG
rnacentral:lncRNA from 1 species